rnacentral:pre_miRNA from 1 species
CGUGCCAGGGGUGCGUUUGCAAAGCCCGCUACAAGUUUGCGUUGUUGCAAAGUUGACACUGUAAAUGCACUAUCUGGUACGACA